GGCGGAUGUAGCCAAGUGGAUCAAGCCAGUGGAUGGUG
rnacentral:tRNA from 1 species